GUGGAUUAGAUACCCGGGUAGUCCUAGCCGUAAACGAUGGGCACUAGGUGUUGGAGGUAUCGACCCCUCCAGUGCCGCAGCUAACGCAUUAAGUGCCCCGCCUGGGGAGUACGGUCGCAAGACUAAAACUCAAAGGAAUUGACGGGGGCCCGCACAAGCGGUGGAGCAUGUGGUUUAAUUCGACGCAACGCGAAGAACCUUACCUGGGCUUGACAUCCCUUGAAGGUGCUGGAAACAGUACCGUCCUUUCGGGGACAAGGUGACAGGUGCUGCACGGCCGUCGACAGCU
rnacentral:rRNA from 1 species